rnacentral:rRNA from 1 species
UACGUAGGGUGCAAGCGUUGUCCGGAAUUAUUGGGCGUAAAGAGCUCGUAGGCGGUCUGGUCGCGUCGGCUGUGAAAACCCGGAGCUCAACUCCGGGCCUGCAGUCGAUACGGGCAGACUGGAGUUCGGCAGGGGAGACUGGAAUUCCUGGUGUAGCGGUGAAAUGCGCAGAUAUCAGGAGGACACCGGUGGCGAAGGCGGUUCUCUGGGACGGUACUGACGCUGAGACGCGAAAGCGUGGGGAGCGAACAGG